UACGGGGGGAGCAAGCGUUGUUCGGAUUUACUGGGCGUAAAGGGCGCGUAGGCGGUCGUGACAAGUCACUUGUGAAAUCUCCGGGCUUAACUCGGAACGGUCAAGUGAUACUGUCGGACUAGAGUACAGAAGGGGCAACUGGAAUUCUCGGUGUAGCGGUGAAAUGCGUAGAUAUCUGGAGGAAUACCGGUGGCGAAGGCGGCAUCCUGGACCGAGAUUGACGCUGAGGAGCGAAAGCUAGGGGAGCAAACGGG
rnacentral:rRNA from 1 species